rnacentral:rRNA from 1 species
CCUACGGGAGGCAGCAGUGAGGAAUAUUGGUCAAUGGACGAGAGUCUGAACCAGCCAAGUAGCGUGAAGGAUGACUGCCCUAUGGGUUGUAAACUUCUUUUAUAAAGGAAUAAAACGAGGCACGUGUGCCUUUUUGCCUGCACUUUAUGAAUAAGGAUCGGCUAACUCCGUGCCAGCAGCCGCGGUAAUACGGAGGAUCCGAGCGUUAUCCGGAUUUAUUGGGGUAAACGGGAGCGUAGAUGGGUUGUUAAGUCAGCGGUCAAAUCGUGGGGCUCAACCCCAUCCAGCCGUGGAAACUGGGGAUCUAGAGUGUGCGAGAGGUAUGCGGAAUGCGUGGUGUAGCGGUGAAAUGCAUAGAUAUCACGCAGAACCCCGAUGGCGAAGGCAGCAUACCGGUGCACAACUGACGCUCAGGCACGAAAGCGUGGGUAUCGAACAGGAUUAGAUACCCCUGUAGUC